rnacentral:ncRNA from 21 species
CAAAAUUCGUUGGGGUGCCUUGAAAGAGGCUGAGAGACGCAUUCUCACGUCAACCCAUUGAACCUGAUCCGGGUAAUACCUGCGUAGGGAACGGAGUUUGGCGCGUC